CAAACCAAGGCUGCAAUGUUUGAAUAUUAUACUCAGUCAGUUGCUCGACUACUUACAGUCCUAUUACUUGAGACUUAAUACUCGGUCAGCUGCCGUGUACAUUGUUCUGACAUAAAUGACACCAUGUCUAUGCGCAAGUCUGAAGAAACUUACCAUCUAAUAUGUCUAAUUAGUGUGGUACAUGCUUCAGUACUGCAAGUUGGAGUAGCAAGUAAGUAUACAUCAAAAGAAAGUACUGCUUCAGUACUACUCCCUCCGUUCCAAAAUAGAUGACUCGACUUUGAGUUAGUACAAAGUCGAGUCAUCUAUUUUGGAACGGAGGGAGUACAUGCUUAGUACUGACCAUCUAAAAAGAUGUCUAAUUAGUGUGCACGAAUCAGGUUAAACCCGCAUGCCUACCUGCACAUUGAUACUCAUACCUGGCUGUGAUAGAAGUUUCAUCUUGAGAUUCAAUUCUUUGAUUUAUGAUGCCCAUUCAUAUGCACAAUGAGAACAUAUAUCCUUCUUACUAAUCUCUGUUUUUUUAAGUUGAAACUAUUUCUUUGUUACUUCAUGUAUGUGAAGUGCAAUCAUAGUCUGUCACAAACUUGUUUGAGGAUGGCAAAAGACUGACCUUUUGCGGGGCAGAGAAAAGACCGGCUUAUUUUAUUUUAACACAACAUAGCAAGCUCCAUAUAUUUCAGUUAGUACAUGGCAGGAUGCAGACUAUGUGCAGUAUUAGUGGUGUAUGGUUAGACUCCAAAAUUGCAGUAUUAGUGGUGUUUUAAAGAGAAAGGUUCGUAAAUGAUGUUGUUUUCUACUAAGAAAUUUCAGUAGUCGGUGUAACCAUUGAGUGCCAAUGUGAUGGGCAUUUAAGAUUUAGAUUCAGAACUGUGGGGUUCAGCACAGAUGGCUUCACUUCAAUAUUUUUCCCCAUGUGGUUGCUGGAUGCAUACAUAUCUAUGUACGCUGGUACAUAUCCAUCCAUUCAACUUCAGUUUUGAUGCAUCUUGUAUAAUGAAUCCUACAUUAUGUGGAGAAAUUUAGACAUAUAAGAGUAUCUGUAAGCCAACCACAUACCACACAUUUUAAAGGCUUAUUUUCUCUACAUCUAUACUAGCUUGAACCAAGUAUUUCUAUUUUCUUUUUAUUUGUUGCCAAAAUUGAAGGAAUGUCGAUAUGGUGUAUUUUUACAACAAUCAGCGUGUUGACUUGGAGCUUGUCCAUUUGCGACGCACUUCUUAUUCUUGGAUUAAGCCUAAUGCUUGCUCUACCAAUCAUGUAGUACUGUUGUGAACUCAUAGGUGAAACCAUUCUCUAUCCAAUACAGAGUUAGCAUAGCUGAGCAUGAUUAGGAGGGAAGGAUUAUUUGGAUUGCUUUACGUAGACUGGCAUGGCUGAUCUUCCCUUCCAUUAUUAUUGCUACUUUAUGUUUUAAUUCCAUUGUUCUUCACUUGAUCUUGGGAUCUAUGUUCCAGUGACUUCCUGAACUUUUACUUGCUGAUGAGAAGUUUCUAUUUUAUUUUUUCUUUCACUUGAUCUUUAGGUUUACAGGGUUAAUGGAUCCAUGUUUCAGCGACUUUGUAGAAGUGUGUUUACUUAUCUUGCUUUUGUUGCUACCGCUGGUGAAGACAAACUCCAGAAAAGGGAGUGAAAUAAGAAAGACGAGAGGUUGCACAAGAUGAGUAAUGCUGGGUAGCGGUAGAGGCUGAAACUGUGAUGAUGAUGCGUAUCUGACCAUUAGUAUGUUUCCCAUCAAGGAAACCUACAAUUUCUAUUAUGAUACAGAGUUUCUAUUAUGAGGUGUAUUUCUCAUAAAGAAUGUGAAUUCUGCAUGAUAGUGUUUUGGAAACGUGAAGGUUUUAUGCAAAGACUGACAUUUAAGAAAGGAUGUAUUAAAAUGUAAACCCUGGUAGAUACUCCUAAAGUCGAAGUUGAUCAGGCAAUAGUAAUUUUUUUUUCGAGCACUGAACUACCGUUUCGGGUUUUGCUUAAUAUUGUUAUUCCUCAUAGGAUGUUCAAGAGGAACACCAUUCAGAAUUUCCUCAUAGGGUUUUGCUUAACUUAGAUUAGGAUGGGGUUCCUUUGACCUUAUGGUUAUGUAUAUAACAAGGACCUAUUACGUAUCCUUUUUCCACUCAGAAAUCUUUGAAUUAAAAGUGUGUUGCAAGUCAAAUGCACCACUGAUAUACAGUAGACACAAUUCGUGUUAAACUAUUGAAAUGUUUAUGACCCUUUCCAAUGCACGGACAGUUAACUAAUCCGAUACGCCAUCAUCUCUUGAGGUAGUGAUAAUCAUCUCAUUUUUUCAAUCAGAUGUACAAUACGCCAUCAUCUCUCGGAGUAUGCGGGGAAGUUUAGAAAAGAUGCAGCAAUGGUGUGGUGAGAUGACAUACAUUCUAUGUGACGACAAUGCACAUGCUACUUUGUAUUUUAUUUAUUUAUUUAAUGUAUUUUUAUUUGUUAACUUUUGUAGGUCAGAGAUAAUAAAAAUUGAUGGCUUCGGAUGAUGCUUUGAAAAUUUCGAUUGACAAAGUCGCAGAUGUAACUAUGAGCGAUUGGACUCAAAAGUCAUCCAAUUUUACACAAUGAGAUGCAUACAAAUAAUUAUUCUUUCCUUUUAUAUAUGUUGCACAUGAUAAUACUUUUUUUCGAGGGGUAUAUGAUAGAGAUGGAGAUAGAUUAGGUUGAUGUUCAAAAAGAAUCCUUCGACAAGGGCCUGCGUCAAUUUCGUUGGAAGGAGUAAAAAAUUCACAGAAUUUUAU
rnacentral:lncRNA from 1 species